rnacentral:lncRNA from 1 species
GCACUUAAAGAACAUAAAUCUCUCAUAUAUCUCUCUAAUUUUGUACUAUCAAAAAUGUUACAUUACUACCUCUGGUCCACACCCCACAGCUGCCCAGCAUGGUCCCUCAAGCCUGAACCCAGCUUACUUUGCCUUUGGUUGCUCAUGUCACAACCAUUCCAUUCCUUUGCUUCAAGGUGUGGGCCCUGAAAGGAACUGUAUACCUGCUCUGCCCAUGACUGCUUCUGCCUCUACCUCAAUGUACUGUAACUGUUUAACAAGGUUGCUCUGGCUCAGGCUGAGAAAUUGACUCCACCCUUACCCUGACGCCUGGCAUGUCCACAUGUGGUCCUGUGUAGUCAGCAACCCCAGAGAACAAGUUACAAGAAAUUAAAGACACGGAAUUCCAAAGGACAAUACAUGUUCAACAAGCUCAAACCAUUCAGAGAGGGCACAGAAUGAAAUUAAAGACAACAGGAAUAAAAUUCUGGGAGUCCAAGUAUACAAAAACACAGCUCAGCAACACAUGGAACAGCAAGACUGUAAAUUCUCAGUCCAGCUAUGGAUAAUUUAGGAUCCUUUGUAGGUGAGUCAGUCGGUUGGUUGUGGGUCAUAGGUGGUGGUUGUGUCACUUACAUUGCUCUGUCGUUUUAUACAUUUGUUGAAGUGGAUUCCUUUUGACUUUCCUCCUCUUCUGAGCCUAUUAUAUUCUAUUUGCUGCCUAGAGGACCAUUUGGAUGAAGCUGAGCUUAGGGAACUGGUGAAACCUAGUGAUAAUUAUUGAAUGGGUUGCUGAAAUCUCAUCUUGGCUAUGUGUCAACAGGACCAAAACCUUAGUCUUUCCUUAGAUUAUAUGAACAUGCUGGAAA